UUAUAAUUUCGGUUUUUAUAAAAAAAAAAUUGUAAAGUCAAAAAGAGGAGAGAGAUGAUGGGGUUUUAAAUGAAAAUAAAUAGGUUUAUUUUUAAUGGGUUGAUAAAUGGGUCAACUCUUUAAUCCAUUUAAAACCCAUAUAUCUUAGUCUUAACCCAUUAAAACUCAUUAUGGGUGCUUUAUGAAAGAAAGCUUGACCCAUUAAUGACCCAUUUAACCAUAAAUGGGUCUAUAAAUGGGUUGUGCAACCCAUUUAACACCUCUA
rnacentral:lncRNA from 1 species